GGAGAGGUGGCAGAGUGGUCGAAUGUACCUGACUCGAAAUCAGGCGUGGGCGCAAGCUCACCGAGGGUUCGAAUCCCUCUCUCUCCGCCA
rnacentral:tRNA from 1 species